AACGGCCAUACCAUGCUGAAUAUACCGGUUCUCGUUAGAUCACCGAAGUCAAGCAUCACUGGGCGCGGUCUGUACUUGGGUGGGUGACCACCUGGGAACACCGCGUGCCGUU
rnacentral:rRNA from 1 species